AGUGAACGCUGGCGGCGUGCUUAACACAUGCAAGUCGAACGGAUUAAAAGAGCUUGCUUUUUUGAUUAGUGGCGCACGGGUGAGUAAUAUAUAGCUAACCUGCCCUUUAGUGGGGGACAACAGUUGGAAACGACUGCUAAUACCCUAUACUCCUUCUUACUAUAAGGUAAGUCGGGAAAGAUUUAUCGCUAAAGGAUGGGGCUUUAUUGUAUCAGCUAGUUGGUGAGGUAAUGGCUCACCAAGGCAAUGACGCAUACCUGGUCUGAGAGGAUGAUCAGGCACACUGGAACUGAGACACGGUCCAGACUCCUACGGGUGGCUG
rnacentral:rRNA from 1 species